rnacentral:rRNA from 1 species
CCUACGGGCGGCAGCAGUGAGGAAUAUUGGUCAAUGGACGAGAGUCUGAACCAGCCAAGUAGCGUGAAGGAUGACUGCCCUAUGGGUUGUAAACUUCUUUUAUAUGGGAAUAAAAUGUUCCACGUGUGGGAUUUUGUAUGUACCAUAUGAAUAAGGAUCGGCUAACUCCGUGCCAGCAGCCGCGGUAAUACGGAGGAUCCGAGCGUUAUCCGGAUUUAUUGGGUUUAAAGGGAGCGUAGGUGGAUUGUUAAGUCGGUUGUGAAAGUUUGCGGCUCAACCGUAAAAUUGCAGUUGAAACUGGCAGUCUUGAGUACAGUAGAGGUGGGCGGAAUUCGUGGUGUAGCGGUGAAAUGCUUAGAUAUCACGAAGAACUCCGAUUGCGAAGGCAGUUCACUGGACUGCAACUGACACUGAGGCUCGAAAGUGUGGGUAUCAAACAGGAUUAGAUACCCUUGUAGUC